rnacentral:lncRNA from 10 species
CAGAUGUCAUUUGGCUGUAUAGUCAAGAAGAUGAGUGGCAAACAAAUCGACACAGACCAAAUGGAACGCCAGAACUUAUAGAUCCAGAAGUUCUCACUUUCAGAUGGAGAUUCAUUCUGAAGAAAUGGGAAGACCCAAGCUUUUCUAUAUGGAGGAAUGCCAUGAUCCACCAUCACAACCAUGCUUCCCUGAGAAAGGGAAAGAAAAUGGUAUCUUAGACUCUGACCACAAGAGCUGAAAUACUGGGAUACUCAAGUUUUAAAGGCUUCACGUGCCACAUAAACAUACUAGUGGCUAUUGUAUCACUCUGCUGUUAGAAACACUAAAUUAGCAUUCCAUGGAGAAAAGAGACGCUGCGCUAACCACUUGCUCAUCCAGCAUCCAAACCCCAGCAAUAUGCCAGCCUCAGCCAUUGUCUGGCUGAAUCUACAUAAGCACCCAAGGACGGAACCACAAAAGUGAACAUUUUUUGAAUCCUGGAUUCAGAAAAAUCAAUGAGAGUUAAUAAAAUAAAUGUUUUGUUCCGAGUCAUUAAAUUUUUAGGUAAAUUUUAGGUACAAUAAUACCUAACUGGACAGAAAUGCAAUACUUGGAAGUAGGGAUCGAUGUAACAAAAACAUAUAAAAUAUGGCAUUGGCUUUGAAACCAAAUGGUUGGUGAAUGUUAAAAAGACUUGAGGAUACUGUUGGUAAACACUUGGAGGUCAGAGAUGAAAGUGUAUGAGACAAGAAAUGAAAUAAGACAUUAAAAAUAUUUAUAGUGUUUUCUUAUCAGUUAUCGGGGUAAGAAGUUGAUAUAAUAACUAUCUCUGAUGUUAAUGGAUGGUUUAAUACAUACUGUAAUUUAAUUUUAAAGUUUUAUUGAGAAAUAAUUUAUAUACAAUAUAAUUUACCAAUUUCAAGUGCACAAUUUAAUAGCAUUUAGCAUAUUUGCAGAGUUAUGCAAACAUCACAAUAAUCUUAGUACAUUUUCAUCACUCAUAAAGAGAUCCUAUAGCCACUAACAGUCACUCUCCAUUUCCUACCCCUAGUCUUAGGCAACCACUGAUCUAACUAUACUUAUUGAUUUGCCUAUACUGAAUAUUUUGUGUGAAUAAAAUAAUACAAUAUGUGGUGUUUUACACUUGGCUUCUUUGACAUAGAGCUUUUUAUUUAAUAUUGGACCAUGUGGUAACAUCAGUACUUCAAUCUAUUUUAAUGUCAAAAAUAUUUUGUCAUAUGGUUAUACUGCAUUUUCCUUAUCCAUUCUUCAAUUGAAGGGCAUUUUGGUUAAUCCUACUUUUGGGCCACUGUAUAUAUAUAUUUUAUUUCUCACAGGCAUAUACCUAGGACUGGCACGCUGGCUCAUGGAUGCCAUACUCUGAGUUUAUCAGUAACCGCUAUCUAUUUUCCAAAGCAGCUGCUCAAUUUUAUAAUCCCAGUACCAAUGUAUAAGUGUUGAUUUCUCUGUUUCCUUGCAAAAUUAGUAAUUGUGAGCCCUUCAACUUGUUAAUCAUUUUUAAGAUUAUUUUGAAUCUGGCACCAUCCAUUGCAUUUCUAAAUUAAUUUAAGGGUCAGCUUGUUAAGUUCUGCAAAAAAAAAAAAAAAAGAAAGAAAAAGAAAAGAAAAAGAAAAGAAAAGAGAAAGUCUUUAUAGGGAUUGAAUUUGUAUAUGAAUAACGUUAAGUCCUCCAAUCAAUGAAUAUUGCUACUUUCCAGUUAUUUAAAUCUUAAAUGUUCCCUACCUGAUAGCGCCACAGUGGGUGCGACCUGGGCCAUGUACAUAAUCAUCCUGAGCUUCAGAAAUAACAAUGGUUUUAGCUGGGUUUUGUUGGACUGCUUAUUUCCUGAUGCCCCCAUUAAACUUUUGG